GAUAUAGCUUAGUGGAAGAGCACUUGCCUAGCAUGCACGAGGCCCUGGGUUCAAUGCCCAGUAUC
rnacentral:tRNA from 1 species